rnacentral:lncRNA from 1 species
AAUGACUAAUUAAGCAUGAUCUUUAAGUAGAGGUUGCAGGAAGUUUGGGGAGUUGAUUGGUAGGACUGAGUAGAAAGCAGAAGUAACACAGGAGGUGGAGGUAAAGAGAAGAGAAAUUAAGAAGGAAAAUCUCAUCAAAUGACAUAUUUAAAGAUAAAUUAAUUAAAUACAGAAAAGGUCUUUUACAUGCAUCGUUGGAUUGCAGUCUCAAGCCUGGGAUUCCAACGGAAUUAACGUCCAUUGAAAACUUACUGUGCUCAAGGCACAGAACGGGGUAGUUUUAUACACAUUCUCCCAUUUGGAUUUUUCAAAGACAACAUCUAAUCAUCCCCAGAGAAAUUUCAGCUGAGAAGACAGGAUGAUGAAGUGCCCUGGGGGCCAGAGUCCAGACAAGUAUUUUGGCACCUCCAAGGACUCGCAGAACACAGAGAGGAAAAGAGAGACCCUGUUAUCUUUCCGCAGGGGUGGCCGUUCAAACUCUCAGAGAUGGAAGUUAAGAUUUCCUUUGGUAUAAGUGGCAGUUUGACUGGCUGCAAGGAGAGCCUCAGUUUGUUUAAUUUGGAGUAAAAUUUUAUGAGUUAAUCUCUAGUGAGGGAAAGCAGCAGUAAACACAGAACAUACUGGUCAUUA